CUCACUCCCCUGCCGUAAUCAAAACCGAGAGCUCUUCAUUCCAGUAUGUGUUCGAAACCACCGGCGGCCGUUCUGUCACGGCAGCCGUCGCCGACGAUCUUACCAGACGAAGUCCUCGGCGAGAUCUUCGUGAAGCUUCCGGUGAAAAUCCUGCUACAAUUGAAGUGCGUUUGCAAAUCAUGGAAAACCCUAAUCUCCGAUCCCCAAUUCGCCAGGUACCAAUACCAAUCCCACAGAUCAAUCAUGGCCAACGAGCGAUUGGCCUUCUUCGUCGACGGUAACCCGAGCCGAGUCGUAACGUGUUCUGUGCAAUCACUGAUCGAAACCCCAUCAAUCCCUGCUGAAACCGUUGAAUUCACCAUGAGAUUGGAGCGCGGUUACGAGAUUAUAGGUUCUUGCAAUGGGUUGUUGUGUUUGUUUGAUAACAGUUGUUGUUUCAGAUUGUGGAACCCUUGUACCAGAGCGAAAUCGGAGAAGUCGCCGGAGGCGCAGGGUUUGCGUGGUGAGAUGAUGAGACAAUGUGGGUUUGGGUAUGAUAAGGUGAAUGACAAGUACAAGGUGAUGACAUUGGUUAAUGUCGAGGUUCGUGUGAAGAAGAAGGGUUUACAGGUUAAAACUGUGGCUAAGGUUUAUACCUUUGGUGAAAAUUCGUGGACAAUGAUUCCUGGGGAUCUCCAGUGCGUUCCCGAUUCGUGGAAUAAAUUUGGGCAAUUUGCGAGUGGUAAUCUGCAUUGGCUGACUACGACGGUGAUCGAUCAGGGUAAAGUGGUUCUUUCCAUGGAUGUGGAGAAUGAGACUUGUGGUCAAUUGUUGCUACCUCCUCAUUUGAGCGCUCGUGAUGACGUGAGCCUGCAUGGCUCCGGUGACGGUCUUUAUGUGUGUCAAUUUUUCCAAACUCAUUGGGAUUUGUGGUUGAUGAAAGAAUAUGGAGUUCAGGAGUCUUGGACUAAAUUUAUGACGAUGCCUCGCGAGGAAUCCCCUUUUACUAGUUGUGCUCUUCUUUUUUUUCCCUUUUGCAUUUUGGAAAAUGGUAUUGUUCUUGUGAGAACUACAUGUUCCCAUUCCCAUCUAGUUAUUCGGUAUGACUCAAAUGAUGGCUCAUUUAGUCAUUGUAUGAUUUUGCGAGAUCAACACGGGAAGAAUGCUCGGGUUUAUCACGAGAGUCUAGUACCACCACCAUGAUCAAUUAGGCUGGGUUAGAGGUGUGCAAAGUUUAAAGUGCAAGAAGAAAAUGAAGUUACUUUCCUGGCUAAAGUGAAUGAAGGGACAGAUUUGCACUCUAUAUUCUCUGAUGAUAAUGAAGAAUAGGUUGAGUACACCUCCUAACAAGUAAUUGUCAUAUAACAAGGGGAUGUGGCAUUUUAAUGCACAUGAAUAUCCUUUAUGAAGAUGAAUGGAACGAAACAGAGAUCGGAUCAAACAACUGCCAUAGUUAGGAAAUUCAACCAUAGUGCUGAUUUUGGUUUUUCUUAAUUUUCAGUGUCUUUUUAAUCCUUGUAAGAUAUAUGGCCUUGUGCUGCAUGACUGGAGUAAACUGUCUUUAUGUGUGUCAAAUAUCUUAUAAAACUCAUUAGGUUAUGUGGCUGAGGAAAGAGUAUUGGGUUCGGGAGUCUUGGACUAAAUAGUAAAUACACGAUGAUCCCUCACUUGAAUUUCCAUAUUACUAAGAUGCGUUCAUUAUUUUAGU